rnacentral:rRNA from 1 species
GGUCUGAGAGGACGACCAGCCACACUGGAACUGAGACACGGUCCAGACACCUACGGGUGGCAGCAGUCGAGAAUUUUUCACAAUGGGCGCAAGCUUGAUGGAGCGACGCCGCGUGGGGGAUGAAGGGCUUCGGCCUGUAAACCCCUGUCAUUUGCGAGCAAACCUUUCCGUUGAAUAGGCGGAAAGUUGAUAGUAGCGAAAGAGGAAGGGACGGCUAACUCUGUGCCAGCAGCCGCGGUAAUACAGAGGUCCCAAGCGUUGUUCGGAUUUACUGGGCGUAAAGGGUGCGUAGGUGGUCGGAAAAGUUUGGUGUGAAAUCUCUGAGCUUAACUCAGAAACUGCACUAAAUACUAUUUGGCUAGAGGGUCGGAGGGGAGACUGGAAUUCUCGGUGUAGCAGUGAAAUGCGUAGAUAUCGAGAGGAACACCGGUGGCGAAGGCGAGUCUCUGGACGAUUCCUGACACUGAGGCACGAAAGCUAGGGGAGCAAACAGGAUUAGAUACCCUGGUAGUCCUAGCUGUAAACGGUGCACAUUUGCUGUGAGCGGAAUCGACCCCGUUCGUGGCGAAGCUAACGCGUUAAAUGUGCCGCCUGGGGAGUACGGUCGCAAGAUUAAAACUCAAAGAAAUUGACGGGGGCCUGCACAAGCGGUGGAGUAUGUGGCUUAAUUCGAUCAACGCGAAGAACCUUACCUGGCCUUGACAUGUACGUAGUAGAAGGGUGAAAGCCCGACGAGGUAGCAAUACCAGCGUACACAGGUGCUGCAUGGCUGUCGUCAGCUCGUGUCGUGAGAUGUUGGGUUAAGUCCCGCAACGAGCGCAACCCUUGUGUCCUGUUGCCACCCGAACGAGAGUUCGGAGCACUCUGGACAGACUGCCUCGCUUUAACGAGGAGGAAGGUGGGGAUGACGUCAAGUCAGGAUGGCCCUUACGGCCAGGGCUGCACACGUACUACAAUGCCCAGUACAGAGGGACGCGAGACCGCAAGGUGGAGCAAAUCCCAAAAAAAGUGGGCUCAGUUCAGAUUGUCGGCUGCAAUUCGCCGACAUGAAGCUGGAAUCGCUAGUAAUGGCGCAUCAGCUACGGCGCCGUGAAUACGUUCCCAGGCCUUGUACACACCGCCCGUCACAUCAUGAAAGCCGUCUGUACCCGAAGUCAGCGUGUUAACUGCAAAGAGACAACUGCCGAAGGUAUGGGCGGUGAUUGGGAU